rnacentral:tRNA from 1 species
GAACGUGUCCCAAGGCCUGAAUUCCUUCGCAAGGAAGAGGUCGCAGGUUCGAUCCCUGUCACGUCCACCA